UACAGAGGUCUCAAGCGUUGUUCGGAUUCAUUGGGCGUAAAGGGUGCGUAGGUGGCGCGGUAAGUCGGGUGUGAAAUUUCGGAGCUUAACUCCGAAACUGCAUUCGAUACUGCCGUGCUUGAGGACUGGAGAGGAGACUGGAAUUUACGGUGUAGCGGUGAAAUGCGUAGAGAUCGGGAGGAACACCGGUGGCGAAGGCGGGUCUCUGGGCAAUUCCUGACGCUGAGGCGCGAAAGCGUGGGGAGCAAACGGG
rnacentral:rRNA from 1 species